rnacentral:rRNA from 1 species
GACGAACGCUGGCGGCGUGCCUAAUACAUGCAAGUAGGACGCAGUUGCGAACGGGUGAGUAAUGCGUAGGCAACUGCCUAUUAGAGGGGGAUAACUAUUGGAAACGAUAGCUAAUAACGCCUUCUGGUAGAUGGACCUGCGUUGUAUUAGCUAGUAGGUGGGGUAAUGGCCUACCUAGGCAACGAUACAUAGCCGACCUGGGAGGGUGAUCGGCACCACCGGGAUGGAGCACCGGCCCAGACCCCAACGGGAAGGAGCAGUAGGGACUCUUCGGAAAUGGGGGGAACCCUGACCGAGCAACGCCGAGUGAGUGAAGAAGGUUUUCGGAUCGUAAAUCUCUGAUGUUAUGGAAGCGGUACUUAACCAGAAAGGGACGGCUAACUCCGUGCCAGCAGCCGCGGUAAUUC